UAGGCAAACAACUCCAACAUCAAGAAGCUUUCCCAACAAUUACAACAUUUCCAAGUUUUUUAGAUUAUGUCAGUAUGACGGGUAUGCAUAUACAAAAACCUCUUCUUGUUACGCCGUGAUAUCCGCAUACGAGCUCCCAUAUCCACAUCCUGAGAAAUCAUUUUAUCAAAAAAGCCUUAAAUGCUUUAAGAAACUCCAUAUUAUCUUCCCUUUCUUCAAAAACUACACCCAAUAUCCUCAUCCGACAAAUCAUAUCUUCCUUUUUUUUAAACGAGGGGUCCGAUAUCCUGAUCCGACAAAUCAGAGCUCCAAUAUCCGCAUCCAAGAAAUCAUUUUGUGAAAUGAUCUUAGAUGCUCUAAAAAACUCUAUAUUAUCUUCCCUUUCUUUGAAAACCAGCACCUCGAUAUCCGCAUGCAAUAAAUCAUUAUAUGAAACGGGCUCGAAACUCUAUAUUAUCUUCUGUUUCUUCGAAAACCACCGCUUUAAUUAACUCGGUCAUGUUCUUUAUAUUCAUUUACUUCCGCGACUUCCAGAACUCUAUGUUAUCUUCCCUUUCUUCGAAAACCACCGCUUCAAUUAACUCGGUCAUGUUCUCUAUCUUCAUUUACUUCCGCGUAUACUUCCAGAUGCAGGCUUAUAUUCGAUUUUAAGCGGGCGGUAACCAAAACAUCCUUUCCUUUAAGUAGAGACGCUAAUUAUUGUCUAUAUUCUCAUACUCUUUCUUAGUUUGUUUUUCGUAUUAUAUUUCUCUAAUCCCAC
rnacentral:lncRNA from 1 species